rnacentral:tRNA from 1 species
UAUUAUGUAUCUUAAAAUUAAAGUAAUGAUUUUUUAAAUCAUUUAUGAUAAACAAAUUCAAAUUAUCCUUAAUAA